UACGUAGGUGACAAGCGUUGUCCGGAUCUACUGGGCGUAAAGAGCGCGCAGGCGGUCGAUCAAGUCGAGUGUGAAAGCCCCCGGCUCAACUGGGGAGGGUCAUUCGAUACUGAUCGACUCGAAGGCAGGAGAGGGUAGUGGAAUUCCCGGUGUAGUGGUGAAAUGCGUAGAUAAUCGGGAGGAACACCAGUGGCGAAGGCGACUACCUGGCCUGGUUCUUGACGCUGAGGCGCGAAAGCUAGGGGAGCAACGGG
rnacentral:rRNA from 1 species